rnacentral:rRNA from 1 species
GAUGAACGCUGGCGGCGUGCCUAAUACAUGCAAGUCGAACGGAAAGACGAUGAGCUUGCGCGUCGGACGUUUGCGGCAGACGGGAGAGUAACACGUGUAUAACCUACCUAUAUGACUGGGAUCACUUGGGGACUCCGGCGAUAAUCCCGUAUAAUAUAUUGAACCGCAUGGGUGGAUGGAAAAAUUCGGCUUUUCUGUCACUUCUCGAUGCAUCCGCGCCGCAUUAGGUAGUUGUUAAGGUAAAGGCUUAUCACGGGGACGAUGCGUAGACGAGCUGAGAGGGGGAUCGGCCGCCCUGGAACUGAGCCAGGCACCAGACUCCUACGGGAGGCAGCAGUAGGGUAUCUUACGCAAUGGGCGAAAGCCUGACGGAGCAACGCCGCGUGAGUGAUGGAGGUCUUCGGAUCGUAAAACUCUGUUAUUAGGGAAGAACAAAUGUGGAAGUAACUAUGGACGGCGUGACGGUACCUAAUCAGAAAGCCACGGCUAACUACGUG